GUCCUUAUGGUUCAUGAAGACAUCUCCCAUGUAUAGCUUGAAUUGAUUCCCAUGAUUCAGGAAAUACUUACUCAAUGGAUUAUUCUCCACUUGGUGGGAACAACACCAUCUGAGUCACCACUUUUGGAGGAUUUUAGCUCCGCCUUUCGUCAUUGCGCAUUGUUGAAGCCAAAUAUGGAUACAUAAAAGGAUCCAAUGGCUGGAAUUAUGGAUUUGAUGAAGAACAUGUAUGAGGACGGAGAUGAUGACAUGAAGUGGACGAUUGCAAAAGCAUGGACAGAUGCAAGAUCUGGGAAAACAGCUAACCCAUUGCAGGGAUACCGGUGAAAUUCCCUCAGCCUGAUGAUCAAAUGGUAGAAAUAGGAGGUUUACCGGUAAUGCAUCUAGGAGUUUGAUUAU